rnacentral:rRNA from 1 species
AAGUCGUAACAAGGUCUCCGUUGGUGAACCAGCGGAGGGAUCAUUACCGAGUUUACAACUCCCAAACCCCUGUGAACCAUACCUAUCGUUGCUUCGGCGGGACCGCCCCGGGACUCGCUCCCGGAACCAGGCGCCCGCCGGGGACCGCAAACUCUUGUUUUUUCAGUAUCUUCUGAGUGGCAUUAUAAAUGAAUCAAAACUUUCAACAACGGAUCUCUUGGUUCUGGCAUCGAUGAAGAACGCAGCGAAAUGCGAUAAGUAAUGUGAAUUGCAGAAUUCAGUGAAUCAUCGAAUCUUUGAACGCACAUUGCGCCCGCCAGUACUCUGGCGGGCAUGCCUGUUCGAGCGUCAUUUCAACCCUCAGGCCCCCGGGCCUGGCGUUGGGGAUCGACCACCGCCGCCGUCAGCGCGGCAGGUCGUCCCCUAAACACAGUGGCGGUCACGCUGCGGCAUCCCCUGCGUAGUAGCACAACUCGCACCGGAUCGCGGCGCGGCCACGCCGUAAAACAACCCAAUUCUGAAAUGUUGACCUCGGAUCAGGUAGGGAUACCCGCUGAACUUAA